UACGAAGGGUGCAAGCGUUACUCGGAAUUACUGGGCGUAAAGCGUGCGUAGGUGGUUUGUUAAGUCUGUUGUGAAAGCCCCGGGCUCAACCUGGGAAUGGCAAUGGAUACUGGCAAGCUAGAGUGCGGUAGAGGGUAGUGGAAUUCCCGGUGUAGCGGUGAAAUGCGCAGAUAUCAGGAGGAACACCAAUGGCGAAGGCAGCUCGCUGGAACGGUACUGACGCUGAGGCGCGAAAGCGUGGGGAGCGAACAGG
rnacentral:rRNA from 1 species